rnacentral:lncRNA from 1 species
AAAAAUCUACCAUCAAUUUCUGAAAUUAAUAGAAGAAGAUUCAUAACGAAAGCAUGACAUAAAAAAAUAAAAAAAUAAAAAUAAACAAACUUCCCCUGCCGAACGUAAAAAGAGAAAAGCUACUCUCCCACCAACUUUUAAUAUGUCACGAUUUGUUUUACGCAAUGAAACUUAUCGGUUUGUCAUAUUAUUAUUUACUGGUUUUUUAACAGAUAUCGUAAGAACGAGAACAUGUAACAAACGCCAAUGAAGAGGAUAUAAUAAAAGAUUAGAAAACAAACACCAGUGAAAGUGAGUGGGACAUUUAUUUGGUGUGCGAGUGAAGUGCUAUUAAAGACUUAUGAGGUCAGUAAUGUAAAAAAUAGAGAAACGAGAGGGUAAAUGACUAAAUGUGAAAAAGAGACGUACUAUGAGUAGUCAAAUCAAAGAUGAAUCACACAAAAGCUAAAUAACCCUUACCACCCACU